rnacentral:rRNA from 1 species
GAUGAACGCUGGCGGCGUGCCUAAUACAUGCAAGUCGAGCGAACGGACGAGAAGCUUGCUUCUCUGAUGUUAGCGGCGGACGGGUGAGUAACACGUGGAUAACCUACCUAUCAGACUGGGAUAACUUCGGGAAACCGUAGCUAAUACCGGAUAAUAUUUUGAACCGCAUGGGUCAAAAGUGAAAGACGGUCUUGUCGUCGCUUGUAGAUGGAUCCGCGCUUCAUCAGCUAGUUGGUGAGGUAGUGGCUUACCAAGGCUAUGACGGGUAGCCGGCAUGAGAGGGUGACCGGCCACAGUGGGACUGCGAUACGGCCCAGACUCCUACGGGAGGCAGCAGUGGGGAAUAUUGCACAAUGGGCGGAAGCCUGAUGCAGCAACGCCGCGUGCGGGAUGACGGCCUUCGGGUUGUAAACCGCUUUCGCCUGUGACGAAGCGUGAGUGACGGUAAUGGGUAAAGAAGCACCGGCUAACUACGUG